rnacentral:misc_RNA from 1 species
GUUGGUACUCCAUAAAACUAGUCCUUUACUUUUUCAUGUUCUAAUUCGCUUUCUAUAUCAUGCCGCUAAACCAAACCAAAUGUUAGAUGGAGCAGGAAUUAAAACCGAGUGCAAAGCUGUUCAAAGCAAAGCAAAAAAUUUAUACUGAUUCAAAAUUUCAUGUCAUAAACGAGGCCCACCUUUUAAACUGGGAAACAUUUCG